AGAUUGAACGCUGGCGGCAUGCCUUACACAUGCAAGUCGAACGGCAGCACGGGGGCAACCCUGGUGGCGAGUGGCGAACGGGUGAGUAAUAUAUCGGAACGUGCCCUGGAGUGGGGGAUAACGUAGCGAAAGUUACGCUAAUACCGCAUACGAUCUACGGAUGAAAGUGGGGGAUUCGCAAGAACCUCAUGCUCGUGGAGCGGCCGAUAUCUGAUUAGCUAGUUGGUAGGGUAAAAGCCUACCAAGGCAUCGAUCAGUAGCUGGUCUGAGAGGACGACCAGCCACACUGGGACUGAGACACGGCCCAGACUCCUACGGGAGGCAGCAGUGGGGAAUUUUGGACAAUGGGCGCAAGCCUGAUCCAGCAAUGCCGCGUGAGUGAAGAAGGCCUUCGGUUGUAAGCUCUUUGUCAGGAAGAACGGUGAUGCCUAAUACGUGUACACUAAUGACGGUACCUGAAGUAAUAAGCACCGCUAACUACGUAGCCA
rnacentral:rRNA from 1 species